GUUGGUAUAGUAGUGAGGUUUUAAUGGGUGUAAGGUUAGUUGGUAUAGUAGUGAGGUUUUAAUGGGUGUAGGGUUAGUUGGUAUAGUAGUGAGGUUUUAAUGGGUGUAGGGUUAGUUGGUAUAGUAGUGAGGUUUUAAUGGGUGUAGGGUUAGUUGGUAUAGUAGUGAGGUUUUAAUGGGUGUAGGGUUAGUUGGUAUAGUAGUGAGGUUUUAAUGGGUGUAGGGUUAGUUGGUAUAGUAGUGAGGUUUUAAUGGGU